CAUUUGGCUUUCCAUAGAACACACCCUGAGCAGCUCUGACAUCACUGUAGUUCAGUGAGAGACUCCGAGAAAGUGAAACUAACUUGAUCUACAACAUGGACGCCAGAAACCAUCGAACUCUUUAAACAACUGAAUAUCGAGUCGUUCAGAGACACUUGUGAACACAUCUGAUACUCACAGCAGGUCAUAGUUCAGAUUGCUCAGCUUUAAGAGGGAAAGAACAAUGGCAGAAUCUUCACUAACAGCAAGAAAAACCAGGAGACAGAGUGGCUGACUGUACAUGAUCU